rnacentral:lncRNA from 1 species
UUUUCAUUGAGUCAUAUAUUUUAUGCCAGUGGACCAGGAUAUGCUAUUACUGACUUUUACUGAGGGGUCAAAAACUUUGUUCAAACUCUAUGGAAGUGAGUAGUUGUGAACUCCAUAUUUGCCUGGCUUUAAAAGCCUUUCAUUUUUAAAUAUCCUAAAAUUCCAGCAGAUGGUGAUACUACUACAUGAAAGAGGGCUCUUUGCUCUAGUUCUGGAAUCUGCAUUAUUGGUAGCAUGUGAUGAGCUGAAGAAUGUCCGGAGGAAGGUGACAAGGGUAUGGGAUACUUCCAACCACCCUUCUACAAAAGCAAAAAAGGAAACUGUUUCUACCCUCAAGGAGCUGAUAUUUUAUCUGAAGAAUCAAAAUAUUCAGAGAAACACAUUCAAUGAUUUUCUGUUACUUAGUGUAUCUCUUCUAAAGGUCUGGAUUUGAGUUCCAGCACUCAGGUCUAUAGCUGUGUGACUUUGGGCAAGUUGCUUCAUUCCUCUGAGUUUUGGUGUCCUAAUUUGUAAAAUGGAGUUGAUAAUCUUCCCCCAAAGUCUUCCUCUGAUGCCUGAUCUCGGAAGAGAAGUGGCUUUGAGUUCUUUAAGGUAUGCUACAAUAUAUAAGUUCUGUCAGGUUCUAUCAGUGGAGGAAACCUGAUAGUGUAGUCCUAAGAACAACCCAUGUCCAUUGGAGGAGGAUAAGAAGAGUGGCUACUCUGUGAUAAGUCCUUUGAUGGUGGAGACAUAGGAAACAGGUAAAAAUCCAUAGGCUCAGGGCAGCUAGUAAGUAGUUCAGUGGAUAGAGUAUCAGGACUAGAGUCAGGAUGACCUGGGUUCAAAUUUGACCUCAGACACUUCCUAGCUGUGUGACCCUGGGUAAGUUACUUAACCCCAGUUAUCCAGCCCUUGCCCUUCAGUCUUAGAGUUGUUAAUUAGGUUAAAAUUUAAGGUUGGUUUGUUUUUUAAAAUAUGCUCCCUCUCUCAUAGGGUUGUUGGAAAGAGAACAUUUUGUAAAGCAUAGAGUCAUACAAAGCACAAGUUGCAUUGGAAAGAGUGAGAAUGAUUUCGGAUCCAGAGAAUCUGAGUUCAAAUUCUGCCUUGAAUCAUACUACCUGUGUAGCUUUGGACAAAUCACUAAGCCUCUAUGGCAGUUUCUUUGCUAUAAAAUAAAGAAAGUUUGAUUAAAUAGUCUCUAGAUCA